GCGUCCGUAGCUCAGUUGGUUAGAGCACCACCUUGACAUGGUGGGGGUCGGUGGUUCGAGUCCACUCGGACGCA
rfam:Pantoea dispersa strain SA5 contig_25, whole genome shotgun sequence.